AGAUCGAACUAUAGAGUUUGAUCCUGGCUCAGAUUGAACGCUGGCGGCAUGCCUUACACAUGCAAGUCGAACGGCAGCACGGGAGCAAUCCUGGUGGCGAGUGGCGAACGGGUGAGUAAUAUAUCGGAACGUGCCCAGUCGUGGGGGAUAACGCAGCGAAAGCUGUGCUAAUACCGCAUACGAUCUCUGGAUGAAAGCGGGGGACCUGCAAGGGCCUCGCGCGAUUGGAGCGGCCGAUAUCAGAUUAGCUAGUUGGUGGGGUAAAAGCUCACCAAGGCGACGAUCUGUAGCUGGUCUGAGAGGACGACCAGCCACACUGGAACUGAGACACGGUCCAGACUCCUACGGGAGGCAGCAGUGGGGAAUUUUGGACAAUGGGCGCAAGCCUGAUCCAGCAAUGCCGCGUGCAGGAUGAAGGCCUUCGGGUUGUAAACUGCUUUUGUACGGAACGAAAAGGCUCUUUUUAAUAAAGAGGGCUCAUGACGGUACCGUAAGAAUAAGCACCGGCUAACUACGUGCCAGCAGCCGCGGUAAUACGUAGGGUGCGAGCGUUAAUCGGAAUUACUGGGCGUAAAGCGUGCGCAGGCGGUUUUGUAAGACAGAUGUGAAAUCCCCGGGCUCAACCUGGGACCUGCAUUUGUGACUGCAAGGCUAGAGUACGGUAGAGGGGGAUGGAAUUCCGCGUGUAGCAGUGAAAUGCGUAGAUAUGCGGAGGAACACCGAUGGCGAAGGCAAUCCCCUGGACCUGUACUGACGCUCAUGCACGAAAGCGUGGGGAGCAAACAGGAUUAGAUACCCUGGUAGUCCACGCCCUAA
rnacentral:rRNA from 1 species